GGGGGCUGUGCUUUGGCAAAGUGGGUGGGGUUUAUAUCCUGCCUAUAUUCCUGUUUGGCCCUGUCUGGGUCUGUGGUAUCACCGGAUGGGGCCACAGUGUCUCCUGACCCCUCCUGUCUCAGCCUCCAGUACUUACGCUGUAGUAGUUUGUGUCGGGGGGCUAGGGUCAGUCAUAUCUGGAGAACUUCUCCUGUCUUAUCCGGUGUGAAUUUACGUAUGCUCUCUCUAAUUCUCUCUUUCGGAGGACCUGUGCCCUAGGACCAUGCCUCAGGACUACCUGGCAUGAUGACUCCUUGCUGUCCCCAGUCCACCUGGCCGUGCUGCUGGUCCAGUUUCAACUGUUCUGCCUGUGGCUAUGGAGCCCUGACCUGUUCACCGGACAUGCUACCUGUCCCAGACCUGCUGUUUUCAACUCUCUAGAGACAGCAGGAGCGGUAGAGAUACUCUCAAUGAUCAGCUAUGAAAAGCCAAUUGACAUUUACUCCUGAGGUGCUGACCUGUUGCACCCUCGACAACUACUGUGAUUAUUAUUAUUUGACCAUGUUGGCCAUUCAUGAACAUCUUGGCCAUGUUCUGUUAUAAUCUCCACCCGGCACAGCCAGAAGAGGACCGGCCACCCCUCAUAGCCUGGUUCCUCUCUAGGUUUCUUCCUUGGUUUUGGCCUUUCUAGGGAGCUUUUCCUAGCCACCGUGCUUCUACACCUGCAUUGCUUUCUGUUUGGAGUUUUAGGCUGGUUUUCUGUACAGCACUUUGAGAUAUCAGGUGAUAUCAGUAAGAAGGGCUUUAUAAAUACAUUAGAUUUGAAUAAAAAGGCAUAUUUGAUGGGCGCAGGAUUAUGCUCCAGCCAAGCAGUAGUAAUACCUGGAUGAAACUAAACUACACCCAGGUAUAUAAGUCCCUCCCAUCCAAUCAUGUGACAAACACAUCUAAAACAGACACAUGGGAGACAGGAUCCAUGUUUAAUCAAGUCAUCAUUUGAAACGAGCAUCUGUCUGAGCAUGUCCCCGUUCAACAUAACACAAAUGGAUGUCAAGAGGUGGGCAUUACAGCAUCAACAGUCAUUAUUCAUGCCAGAUAGAUACACCCAACUGGCCGAACCGGCCAACAUAAGGCCAGUCAUUAUUCAUGCCAGAUAGACACACCCAACUGGCAGAACCGGCCAACAUAAGGCCAGUCAUUAUUCAUGCCAGAUAGACACACCCAACUGGCCGAACCGGCCAACAUAAGGCCAGUCAUUAUUCAUGCCAGAUAGAUACACCCAACUGGCAGAACCGGCCAACAUAAGGCCAGUCAUUAUUCAUGCCAGAUAGACACACCCAACUGGCAGAACCGGCCAACAUAAGGCCAGUCAUUAUUCAUGCCAGAUAGACACACCCAACUGGCAGAACCGGCCAACAUAAGGCCAGUCAUUAUUCAUGCCAGAUAGACACACCCAACUGGCAGAACCGGCCAACAUAAGGCCAGUCAUUAUUCAUGCCAGAUAGACACACCCAACUGGCAGAACCGGCCAACAUAAGGCCAGUCAUUAUUCAUGCCAGAUAGACACACCCAACUGGCAGAACCGGCCAACAUAAGGCCAGUCUUCCCUUCCACAGUUUUCAUUAUACCGUUUGAAUAGAAUAGGACAAAUAAACACAUUUGUCAAACAACAUUUCAACCAAUCCAUUUCAAAGGGCAAAUGUUGCAUUUCCAUAAUGCUUCAAAUGUCAAAAACUACAAUCCAUUCAUUAUUUAGCAAAGGCAAUUGUCUGUCUGAGAAAGCCUGACAAUACUUUAAUAUCAUUGUUUUAGAGAGAAAGACCCUGUUUUUAGAGUCACAGUAAAGCAGUUAGAAAACAAACUGAAACUAGAAUUCUAGUUUUAGAACAAUGUAGAUGUGUAGAGGUGUUCUGAAACUAUCAUUCUAGAACAGAGUUAAAACUGAGCUGUUCUAGAGGUGUUCUGAAUCUAUCAUUCUAGAACAGAUUUAAAACAGAGCUGUUCUAGAGGUGUUCUGAAUCUAUCAUUCUAGAACAGAUUUAAAACUGAGCUGUUCUAGAGGUGUUCUGAAACUAUCAUUCUAGAACAGAUUUAAAACAGAGCUGUAGAAGAGACAGUUUGAUCAUUCCUAAAGGCACUUCCCUGUACCUUCAAUAUGUCCUGAUUCAGUGCAAACAAGCUUGUCAACAACAAUAUGUACAUAUCAGGAUCAAUAACAACAAUCACUGAUUAUUAUCACGAAACUCCCCAAAGACACACAUCCAUCUCACCCCAUUCUAGUCUUGUUCUGAGGGAAAGAAAAGUUCCUCUCCUUUUCAUUACACAUCUUCACCUUUCCUCUGAGAAAUGAAAACAGCAAAUAAAAGUUGGCUCUUGACUGUAAUAACGACCAGUGGCAGAACGACUAGACUUCAUAUUUUACUACCUAACCAGUAAAAUACACAGGAGGCCUUUCAAACUAAUGCUGGCAUCUGGCUCACGGGUGAAUAUUUUCACAGUAUUUUACUAAAUGUUCCUUCCUGAGAAUAAAUCACUUUCCUACCGACUAAACUGGUAUUUCCAGUCCAAACUGGAACGGUCCUUCAAAAGCAUUACAGAGCAUAAAAACAGGCCUGUCUGGAUUUGAUUAGAGCUUUGAUUAAAACAUUUCAAGCCUGAUGAGCCCUACAUUAAAGACAUUUACUGAGCCCUACAUUAAAGACAUUUAAUGAGCCCUACAUUAAAGACAUUUACUGAGCCCUACAUUAAAAGAUAUUUAAUGAGCCCUACAUUAAAGACAUUUAAUGAGCCCUACAUUAAAAGAUAUUUAAUGAGCCCAAGCCCCAAAAAAGUCAAAAAUAUUGUGCUGUUAUCCAAUACAUAUAUGAUAUAGGCUACUGCGCGACAGAAAAACAGAAAAGCCCAUAGAUGUAGCUAGCUAUGUCCUCUGUUGGGUAAAUAAAUGAAACUCGCUCCAGGAGGCUUGUUGAGUGUGAACUGUAUGACUGUACUGUAUUAUACUGUACUACUGUACUGUAUUACUGUACUACUGUACUACUGUACUGUAUUAUACUGUAUUAUACUGUACUACUGUAUUA
ensembl:lncRNA